ACAUAGCCACAAGUUAAUAUUUGUGGUCUAACCUGCCCAAUGUGCAAUUAAAAAGAUGAAUGGCCGCGGUACCCUGACCGUGCUAAGGUAGCGUAAUCAGUUGGCUUUUAAAUGGAGUCAGGAAUGAAUGGAAUAACCGGGUUUAGCUGUCUCCUUUCUAAUUAGUUGAAUUUACUGUCCAAGUGAAAAAGCUUGGAGAAAGAAAAGGGACGAGAAGACCCUUAGAAUUUUUUUUAGUGGGAAAAUUUUUUCUAAUGAUUUUGUUGGGGCGACAUGGAAAUAUAUAAAAACUUUCCUUUUAAACUUGCCGAUUUUAUUAAGUUGGGAUAAAUUACCUGAGGGAUAACAGCAUAAUUCUAUAGAUGAGUUUGUGACCUCGAUGUUGGACUAGGGAACUAGCAAGCUAGCCGUUUGCUGUGUGGGUUCUGUUCGAACUGUAAUCCC
rnacentral:rRNA from 1 species